rnacentral:rRNA from 1 species
GUGACUGCGUACCUUUUGUAUAAUGGGUCAGCGACUUAUAUUCUGUAGCAAGGUUAACCGAAUAGGGGAGCCGAAGGGAAACCGAGUCUUAACUGGGCGUUAAGUUGCAGGGUAUAGACCCGAAACCCGGUGAUCUAGCCAUGGGCAGGUUGAAGGUUGGGUAACACUAACUGGAGGACCGAACCGACUAAUGUUGAAAAAUUAGCGGAUGACUUGUGGCUGGGGGUGAAAGGCCAAUCAAACCGGGAGAUAGCUGGUUCUCCCCGAAAGCUAUUUAGGUAGCGCCUCGUGAAUUCAUCUCCGGGGGUAGAGCACUGUUUCGGCAAGGGGGUCAUCCCGACUUACCAACCCGAUGCAAACUGCGAAUACCGGAGAAUGUUAUCACGGGAGACACACGGCGGGUGCUAACGUCCGUCGUGAAGAGGGAAACAACCCAGACCGCCAGCUAAGGUCCCAAAGUCAUGGUUAAGUGGGAAACGAUGUGGGAAGGCCCAGACAGCCAGGAUGUUGGCUUAGAAGCAGCCAUCAUUUAAAGAAAGCGUAAUAGCUCACUGGUCGAGUCGGCCUGCGCGGAAGAUGUAACGGGGCUAAACCAUGCACCGAAGCUGCGGCAGCGACACUAUGUGUUGUUGGGUAGGGGAGCGUUCUGUAAGCCUGUGAAGGUGUACUGUGAGGUAUGCUGGAGGUAUCAGAAGUGCGAAUGCUGACAUAAGUAACGAUAAAGCGGGUGAAAAGCCCGCUCGCCGGAAGACCAAGGGUUCCUGUCCAACGUUAAUCGGGGCAGGGUGAGUCGACCCCUAAGGCGAGGCCGAAAGGCGUAGUCGAUGGGAAACAGGUUAAUAUUCCUGUACUUGGUGUUACUGCGAAGGGGGGACGGAGAAGGCUAUGUUGGCCGGGCGACGGUUGUCCCGGUUUAAGCGUGUAGGCUGGUUUUCCAGGCAAAUCCGGAAAAUCAAGGCUGAGGCGUGAUGACGAGGCACUACGGUGCUGAAGCAACAAAUGCCCUGCUUCCAGGAAAAGCCUCUAAGCAUCAGGUAACAUCAAAUCGUACCCCAAACCGACACAGGUGGUCAGGUAGAGAAUACCAAGGCGCUUGAGAGAACUCGGGUGAAGGAACUAGGCAAAAUGGUGCCGUAACUUCGGGAGAAGGCACGCUGAUAUGUAGGUGAAGCGACUUGCUCGUGGAGCUGAAAUCAGUCGAAGAUACCAGCUGGCUGCAACUGUUUAUUAAAAACACAGCACUGUGCAAACACGAAAGUGGACGUAUACGGUGUGACGCCUGCCCGGUGCCGGAAGGUUAAUUGAUGGGGUUAGCGGUAACGCGAAGCUCUUGAUCGAAGCCCCGGUAAACGGCGGCCGUAACUAUAACGGUCCUAAGGUAGCGAAAUUCCUUGUCGGGUAAGUUCCGACCUGCACGAAUGGCGUAAUGAUGGCCAGGCUGUCUCCACCCGAGACUCAGUGAAAUUGAACUCGCUGUGAAGAUGCAGUGUACCCGCGGCAAGACGGAAAGACCCCGUGAACCUUUACUAUAGCUUGACACUGAACAUUGAGCCUUGAUGUGUAGGAUAGGUGGGAGGCUUUGAAGUGUGGACGCCAGUCUGCAUGGAGCCGACCUUGAAAUACCACCCUUUAAUGUUUGAUGUUCUAACGUUGGCCCGUUAUCCGGGUUGCGGACAGUGUCUGGUGGGUAGUUUGACUGGGGCGGUCUCCUCCUAAAGAGUAACGGAGGAGCACGAAGGUUGGCUAAUCCUGGUCGGACAUCAGGAGGUUAGUGCAAUGGCAUAAGCCAGCUUGACUGCGAGCGUGACGGCGCGAGCAGGUGCGAAAGCAGGUCAUAGUGAUCCGGUGGUUCUGAAUGGAAGGGCCAUCGCUCAACGGAUAAAAGGUACUCCGGGGAUAACAGGCUGAUACCGCCCAAGAGUUCAUAUCGACGGCGGUGUUUGGCACCUCGAUGUCGGCUCAUCACAUCCUGGGGCUGAAGUAGGUCCCAAGGGUAUGGCUGUUCGCCAUUUAAAGUGGUACGCGAGCUGGGUUUAGAACGUCGUGAGACAGUUCGGUCCCUAUCUGCCGUGGGCGCUGGAGAACUGAGGGGGGCUGCUCCUAGUACGAGAGGACCGGAGUGGACGCAUCACUGGUGUUCGGGUUGUCAUGCCAAUGGCACUGCCCGGUAGCUAAAUGCGGAAGAGAUAAGUGCUGAAAGCAUCUAAGCACGAAACUUGCCCCGAGAUGAGUUCUCCCUGACUCC